GCAAAAUAUAGUUCAUGAAGAUAUAACUAUGAAAAAAAUUAAAAGGAAUUUGUCUGUUGUCAACUUUUAAAUACUUUUUCAGAAUGAACAUGUUUCUGGAAAAAGAAAUGGAAAAGAUAGAAAAUGAAUUAUUUAUUUGGAAAUGGAAAUAUGAAGAACUGAGACAAACCAAGCUGGAAGGCCUGAAACAGCAGGAAAGAGUGUGGUUUGCGGAUAUCUCUGAAUGGGGAAAGAGAGAGAGACUUGAAGCAGAGAAACAAAGUUUGGAAGAAGAGAACAGAAGAUUGGAGUCGCAGGUAAAAGAAAUUCAGGAACUUCUGGAGAUGAAAAAUCAAGAAACACUAACUGAAUCAAGCUGUGAUCAUCAAAAUGCACAAAGUAAGCUUCUGGUUGAAAAUAAGGUAAUAUAUUCAACAGCUGAUUUUCCAGGCUUCCCUGGUAAUGAAUUGCCACCAAAGAAUUAUCUCCUGCUCAAGAGUAAAGAGACAGAAGAAAGUGAACUCGGGAUUUGGGACCAGACAAAGUUACUUGUAUGUUGCUGGAAAUUCUAA
rnacentral:lncRNA from 1 species